rnacentral:rRNA from 1 species
GACGAACGCUGGCGGCGUGCUUAACACAUGCAAGUCGAACGGAAAGGCCCUGCUUUUGUGGGGUGCUCGAGUGGCGAACGGGUGAGUAACACGUGAGUAACCUGCCCUUGACUUUGGGAUAACUUCAGGAAACUGGGGCUAAUACCGGAUAGGAGCUCCUGCUGCAUGGUGGGGGUUGGAAAGUUUCGGCGGUUGGGGAUGGACUCGCGGCUUAUCAGCUUGUUGGUGGGGUAGUGGCUUACCAAGGCUUUGACGGGUAGCCGGCCUGAGAGGGUGACCGGCCACCUUGGGACUGAGAUACGGCCCAGACUCCUACGGGGGGCAGCAGUGGGGAAUAUUGCACAAUGGGCGGAAGCCUGAUGCAGCAACGCUGCGUGCGGGAUGACGGCCUUCGGGUUGUAAACCGCUUUCGCCUGUGACGAAGCGUGAGUGACGGUAAUGGGUAAAGAAGCACCGGCUAACUACGUG